rnacentral:tRNA from 1 species
UCCCAGGUGGCUUAGUAGGUAAAGAACCUGCCUGCAAUGCAGGAGACGAAGGAGUUGAGGGGUUGUUUCUUGGGUU